rnacentral:rRNA from 1 species
GACGAACGCUGGCGGCGUGCCUAAUACAUGCAAGUUGAGCGCUGAAGGUUGGUACUUGUACCAACUGGAUGAGCAGCGAACGGGUGAGUAACGCGUGGGGAAUCUGCCUUUGAGCGGGGGACAACAUUUGGAAACGAAUGCUAAUACCGCAUAAAAACUUUAAACACAAGUUUUAAGUUUGAAAGAUGCAAUUGCAUCACUCAAAGAUGAUCCCGCGUUGUAUUAGCUAGUUGGUGAGGUAAAGGCUCACCAAGGCGAUGAUACAUAGCCGACCUGAGAGGGUGAUCGGCCACAUUGGGACUGAGACACGGCCCAAACUCCUACGGGAGGCAGCAGUAGGGAAUCUUCGGCAAUAGACGAAAGUCUGACCGAGCAACGCCGCGUGAGUGAAGAAGGUUUUCGGAUCGUAAAACUCUGUUGGUAGGGAAGAACGUUGGUGAGAGUGGAAAGCUCAUCAAGUGACGGUAACUACCCAGAAAGGGACGGCUAACUACGUG